CCUACGGGCGGCAGCAGUAGGGAAUAUUGCUCAAUGGGGGAAACCCUGAAGCAGCAACGCCGCGUGGAGGAUGAAGGUUUUCGGAUUGUAAACUCCUUUUGUUAGAGAAGAUAAUGACGGUAUCUAACGAAUAAGCACCGGCUAACUCCGUGCCAGCAGCCGCGGUAAUACGGAGGGUGCAAGCGUUACUCGGAAGCACUGGGCGUAAAGAGCGCGUAGGCGGGAUAGCAAGUCAGAUGUGAAAUCCUAGGGCUGAAACAUAGAACUGCAUGUGAAACUGUUAUUCUAGAGUAUGGGAGAGGUAGGUGGAAUUCUUGGUGUAGGGGUAAAAUCCGUAGAGAUCAAGAGGAAGACUCAUUGCGAAGGCGACCUGCUAGAACAUAACUGACGCUGAUGCGCGAAAGCGUGGGGAGCAAACAGGAUGAGAUACCCGUGUAGUC
rnacentral:rRNA from 1 species